AUUGAACGCUGGCGGCAGGCCUAACACACGCAAGUCGAACGAGUGGCGGACGGGUGAGUAAUGUCUGGGAAACUGCCUGAUGGAGGGGGAUAACUACUGGAAACGGUAUCUACAACCGCAUACCAUCAGCUAUGACCAUCUGGGAUUAGCGAGUAGGUGGGGUAACGGUUCACCUAGGCGACGAUCCCUAGCUGGUCUGAGAGGAUGACCAGCCACACUGGACCUGAUACACGGUCAAGACUCCUACGGGAGGGCGCAGUUGGGAAUAUUGCACAAUGGGCGCAAGCCGGAUGCAGCCAUGCCGCGUGUGUGAAGCAGGCCUUCGGGUUGUAAAGCACUUUCAGCGGUGAGGCGUUACCCGCAGAAGAAGCACCGGCUAACUCCGUGCCAGCAGCCGCGGUAAUUC
rnacentral:rRNA from 1 species